UACGAAGGGGGCUAGCGUUGCUCGGAAUCACUGGGCGUAAAGCGCACGUAGGCGGGUUCUUAAGUCAGGGGUGAAAUCCCGAGGCUCAACCUCGGAACUGCCCUUUGAUACUGGGAAUCUUGAGUUCGGGAGAGGUGAGUGGAAUUGCGAGUGUAGAGGUGAAAUUCGUAGAUAUUCGCAAGAACACCAGUGGCGAAGGCGGCUCACUGGCCCGGUACUGACGCCUGAGGAGCGAAAGCGUGGGGAGCAAACAGG
rnacentral:rRNA from 1 species